rnacentral:rRNA from 1 species
GCGGCGCUCCUACGGGAGGCAGCAGUAGGGAAUCUUCCGCAAUGGACGAAAGUCUGACGGAGCAACGCCGCGUGAGUGAAGAAGGUCUUCGGAUCGUAAAGCUCUGUUGUUAGGGAAGAACAAGUAUCGGAGGAAAUGCCGGUACCUUGACGGUACCUGACGAGAAAGCCACGGCUAACUACGUGCCAGCGCCGCGGUAAUCG